rnacentral:tRNA from 1 species
GUCGAGUAGUUUAAAAAAAACAUAAAUUUUGUAAAUUUAAAAUGGAUCCUCUCUCAUUUGU